CAGCAGCCGCGGUAAUAACGGAGGGUGCAAGCGUUACUCGGAAUCACUGGGCGUAAAGGACGCGUAGGCGGGAUGUCAAGUCAGAUGUGAAAUCCAAUGGCUCAACCAKUGAACUGCAUUUGAAACUGGCAACCUAGAGUAUGGGAGGGGGAGAUGGAAUUAGUGGUGUAGGGGUAAAAUCCGUAGAUAUCACUAGGAAUACCGAAAGCGAAGGCGAUCUCCUGGAACAUAACUGACGCUAAGGCGUGAAAGCGUGGGGAGCAAACAGGAUUAGAUACCCUGGUAGUCCACGCCCUAAACGAUGAACACUAGUCGUCGGGAUGCUUGUCAUCUCGGUGAUGCACUUAACAGAUUAAGUGUUCCGCCUGGGGAGUACGGUCGCAAGAUUAAAACUCAAAGGAAUUGACGG
rnacentral:rRNA from 1 species